rnacentral:rRNA from 1 species
UACAGAGGGUGCAAGCGUUGUUCGGAAUUAUUGGGCGUAAAGGGCGCGUAGGCGGUGCGGUAAGUCUGUAGUGAAAUCUCUGGGCUCAACUCAGAGUCUGCUGCAGAAACUGCCGUGCUUGAGUGUGGGAGAGGUGAGUGGAAUUCCUGGUGUAGCGGUGAAAUGCGUAGAUAUCAGGAGGAACACCUGUGGCGAAAGCGGCUCACUGGACCAUAACUGACGCUGAUGCACGAAAGCUAGGGGGAGCAAACAGG